rnacentral:rRNA from 1 species
UACGUAGGGGGCUAGCGUUGUCCGGAAUCAUUGGGCGUAAAGCGCGUGUAGGCGGUCCGGUAAGUCCGCUGUGAAAGUCGGGGGCUCAACCCCGAGCGGUCGUGGGAAACUGGCAGGCUAGAGUGCGGGAGAGGAGAAUGGAAUUCCUGGUGUAGCGGUGAAAUGCGCAGAUAUCAGGAAGAACACCCGUGGCGAAGGCGGUUCUCUGGAACGCAACUGACGCUGAGACGCGAAAGCGUGGGGAGCAAACAGG